UCCUUCGGGGUCGGGUGAAAGUCCCAAUCGACGGUGAUGAUAUAUGAAUAGCUAUCUAAGCCCGUGAGCCUUAACAGGUAGGAUUUGGUGAGAAUCCAAAGCCGACAGUAUAGUCUGGAUGGAGAAGGA
rnacentral:ncRNA from 1 species